UCACUUCACUCCAUUCUAUUUUAAUUUAUUUAAUAUUCAUUCCAUUUUUUGCCUAUUUUCAUUUUCCUUUCAUCCUAUUUUUCAUCCUUAUUUCACCAUUACUUGUAUUUUCACUUUCGUCUCUUUCUUUCUCUUCAUCGCCUGUUUGACCAGAGGCCAGACUGAGCCUUGUGUUCGUGCGAGUUUUGUCGUUGAGCAGUAUAGCCAUCAUGCCGGUCUGAGUUACCGUGCAUGUCUUGCUGCCACGUCAGAUCCACCGUCACGCCAGUUUUGCCAUUGGGCCAGUCGAGCCGCCCAAUCAAACUUCUUCUCUCACUUUCACUUCACCCUGUAACAAGGUGGGGGACCUAUGCCCCAGUUGUCUAUACUUCUAAUGUGUGUCUGUGUGUUUGCAGGAAAGGAAAAAUAGGUCAAGGGAGGCGGUUCCAUAUUGGCCAUAGGCCAGGAGGCGGUUCCAUAUUGGCCAUAGCCCAGGAGGCUUUCCAACAUGAUCUAAAAGGGCGCCCACACGAGCCAGCUCGAGUGUGUCCGGACCCAUGCGAGGUAAGAAUAAACAGGUCAAGAGAGGUAAGAAUAACUAGCCACAAGCCAGGGGGCAUUCCACGUGAUCUAAGAGGGCACCCAUGUGAGCUAGCUCGAGCAUGGCAUGGACCCACGUGAAGUAAGUCCCGCCUCACGUGAACAUAUACUAUGUGAACAUUUCAUGUGGAAGUGCCUCAUGGGUGUGACCCAUGUGAAUUGUGUAAGUAGCAUGUGAAGAGUGUGGGUUGAGUAAAUUCUAUUGGUGGUGUCGUAACCCACCUAUGUGAUUGACACCUUUUACCAUAAUGUCCUUACCCUUGACCAUUCUUUACACAUAGAUUUAUUAAAAAACUCAAGGGUCUUUAUGUGAAGCCCUUUUGGAUUUGAUUGAAAUUAAUAUAUUAGGACAAGGACAAAUUGAAGGACCACAACUUUUAUGGACUUGAGAUGCUCAUGGCAAUAGAGAUAACAGAAGGAAACACAUGCCCGACACUAAGGAAGAAGGCGUAGCGCCGGCUAUGUUAGAAGCCUAGUGUCGGCAGUGUAAGAAGGCAUAGCGCCGGCUGUGUAAGAAGGCAUAGCGCCAGUUGGGUAAGAAGGCAUAGCAUCGGUUGUGUUAAAAGCCUAGUUCCGGCUGUGUAAGAAGGUAUAACACCAUCAGUGUAAGAAGGCAUAGUGCCGACUAUGUUUAAAUUCUAGAGUUGGCUGUGUAAGAAGGUAUAGCGCAGACUGGGUAAGAAGGCGUAGCACCGGUUGUGUUAGAAGCCUAGAGCCGGCUGUGGAAGAACCCAACGUCGAUUGAAGCAUCGCUGCGCGUGUAUAAGGACCCAUCGCCGUCUGAGACCUAGAGUCGUCUGUGAAAUGGGAGAGCAUCGUCGCGAGUGCCACUGCCACCAGUGAGCAGCACCGUUCAUGGAAAGAGCAUAGCGCCGUGUGUGUUUGGUCAAUUUGUACAAGAAUCAAUCCUGCCCUUGUCAGAGCCAUGCAUGCCAGUCACAUGAACCUCACCUACCCUGUCAGCAAUAGUGAACCCCACCUACCUAUGAGUACUUGAACACCACUCUUCUUCACUCCUCCAUCAUUUUUCUCAUCUCCCUUCUUCUUCUCCCAACUUUCUCUCCCUAGAGCCCAAGGGAGAACCCUUUGCUGCUGCUGUUGGGAAGCCCUGCCAAGAAGGUUGAAGUGGUCUACGUGUGGAUUUUAGGAGCACCUUGAGCAUUGGAGAAAGAGUCACAGUUGGAAGACAUGGCUUAGUAGAAGCAGUUGGCCCUAGUUAUUGUUUAUUGUGCAACACAUGUACUAUUGGUCCCUGAUGCCCCAAAUUGAGCUGUAAUG